GACGAACGCUGGCGGCGUGCUUAACACAUGCAAGUCGAGCGGUAAGGCCCUUUCGGGGGUACACGAGCGGCGAACGGGUGAGUAACACGUGGGUGACCUGCCCUCAGCUCUGGGAUAAGCCUGGGAAACCGGGUCUAAUACUGGAUAUGACUCCAUGACGCAUGUUGUGGGGUGGAAAGCCUUGUGCGGCUGAGGAUGGGCCCGCGGCCUAUCAGCUUGUUGGUGGGGUGANGGCCUACCAAGGCGACGACGGGUAGCCGGCCUGAGAGGGCGACCGGCCACACUGGGACUGAGACACGGCCCAGACUCCUACGGGAGGCAGCAGUGGGGAAUCUUGCGCAAUGGGCAAAAGCCUGACGCAGCGACGCCGCGUGAGGGAUGACGGCCUC
rnacentral:rRNA from 1 species